rnacentral:rRNA from 1 species
UACGGAGGGUGCAAGCGUUAUCCGGAUUUACUGGGUUUAAGGGGUGCGCAGGCGGAUAUGUAAGUCAGUGGUGAAAUCUCUAGGCUUAACCUGGAAAUUGCCGUUGAUACUAUAUAUCUUGAAUGCUGUGGAGGUAAGCAGAAUAUGUCAUGUAGCGGUGAAAUGCUUAGAUAUGACAUAGAAUACCCAUUGCGAAGGCAGCUAACUACGCGAUAAUUGACGCUGAGGCACGAAAGCGUGGGGAUCAAACAGG